GUGAAUCAUCAAAUCUUUGAACGCAAAUUGCACUCUCUGGUAUUCCGGAGAGUAUGCCUGUUUGAGGGUCAGUUAAAAUAAAAAUCGGUGUGGUUGCUGACUUUCGUGGUGACGCACCGGAUGUGGGUCGUCUUGCCUUCGGUUAAGUGACCUAAAAUAUUGCAUGAUUUUUUCGAACGGAUUUAAAGGACGGUACGUACGUUUGCGAUAUCUAAUACUAGGUGUGGUUAUCCUCAUGAUUCGCGCCUAUAAUUAUUCAUCAAAA
rnacentral:misc_RNA from 1 species